AUUGAGAACACAACACCAUUGUAGUGACCAGCAAGGAAAGGUAGCGUUAUAGGAGUCGACAACCAUAUCAAAGAAGGACAAGCGGAGAUACCCAGGUGCCAUUCCAUAACACUGAAGUAGUGUGCUCUCUCCUCUAAUAGAAAAUUUAGACACAAAGGCGUUACCACUUUGCAAAGUACAAAUAAACCUAGAGUAAGAAGAUUUGGAACCUCU
rnacentral:misc_RNA from 1 species